UCCAAAGUCUCUCUGGACAUUCUGGUCUAAGACACAGAUGACUGGCUCUAAGACUUCAGUACAAAAUGCAUGAGUGGACUGAACACCAACAUGUACUGCUCCAGAGAGCGACAGGUGAACUGAAGAACUUUACUCAAAAGAACAUCUGUCUAUAAAUGUCAAAUGCAAGACAGAAUCCCCAGCAAUAAGAACUGGUAUGUACAUGUCUGCUGAGAUCUUCUCUGUCCAGAAGAAAUCAUGAUGACUUCCACAUAUGUUGCAUGUGGAAUAAGUAAAUAUUCAUUGAAGACUUAAUACAUAUGCAAACCUACUUCAAGAUAAGCAAGAUAUCACAAAUCA